GUUCCCUCCAUUUCAGGGAGCGGAAUUGAGCGGUGGCGGAGAGGGCCUUUCCUUGAGCUAGGGUUUCCAGUUUCGAAGCCGAAGGGAAGCCGGUGCUUGAUUACAGAAGGCGAAACGUUGAAUAGCCAUGGAGAGUGCCUUCGCGAGCGCCUCUGCUAUAUCAGACCAGAGGCAGAAGAUCGAACAGUAUAAGCACAUUCUGUAUAACGUUUUGUCGUCAAACGAUAGGGUUCAAGCCAAGAAGUUUAUCGAUCACACACUAUCUGACGAAGUUCCACUUGUAGUUUCGCGGCAGCUCUUGCAGACUCUAGCGCAAGAGUUGGGGAAGUUGGAGGGGGAGACUCAGAAAGAGAUUGCCCAUUACAUCCUCGCUCAAAUUCAGCCGCGCGUCGUCUCUUUCGAGGAGCAGGUGUUGAUUAUUCGGGAGAAGCUU
rnacentral:misc_RNA from 1 species